ACAACAUUCGAACCGUCAGUCUACCGAAUAAUAUCACUCUUUUGGUAGAAGAUCCUGCCGUUGUUGU
rnacentral:pre_miRNA from 1 species